UACGAAGGGGGCUAGCGUUGCUCGGAAUCACUGGGCGUAAAGGGCGCGUAGGCGGACUCUUAAGUCGGGGGUGAAAGCCCAGGGCUCAACCCUGGAAUUGCCUUCUAUACUGAGAGUCUUGAGUUCGGAAGAGGUUGGUGGAACUGCGAGUGUAGAGGUGAAAUUCGUAGAUAUUCGCAAGAACACCAGUGGCGAAGGCGGCCAACUGGUCCGAUACUGACGCUGAGGCGCGAAAGCGUAGGGAGCAAACAGG
rnacentral:rRNA from 1 species